UUCACUUCUCUCUGGUAUUGUUGCUUCUCGCACGCACUGACGACUUCAGAAAGUUCCAAUUGAAGAUGUUCAUUAUCAUUUGCAAACUAACGAUUUCAAAUCUUCGUAAUGCAGAGAUACAGUGAGCUUCCUAUCUGGUCUUCUUCGUAAGGGUUUCAAUUUACGUCAAUGGAGAACCUAGCUCCCCAUAUUUCUCUGCCACUCAUGGAUCUAUGUUUAAAUCUCACAAAAACGAAGAUCAGUUCAACCCUGAUUUUACUGAAAUCAAAACAAUUAUUUAUUUUUGGGGAUUGAAGAAAGCUAAGAAAGAUAGUCUGUACUGCAAAAGAGAGAAUUAGUAAGAUGCCUCCUUGUGCUGCUGGUAAACUUAGCUCCAUCUACCGCGACGUCACCAGACAUAGAUGGACUGGUAGAUAUGAAGCUCAUCUAUGGUACAAGAGUACAUGGAAUUAGAACCAAAAUAAGAAAGGGAAACAGGGUAUGGCAAAAAUAGUAGUAUGCAUGAAGAGUUGAUCAUUUUACAUGCGCUUUUGUCUCCCUACUCAAACUUGUUCUUCAAUUGUCUUUCUGGAGGAGAACUGCAUAAAAUGAGGUGACCUGCCAACUUUAUUUUUUCAUAAAUGCUCUUUUAUUUAGAGGUGGAUAAUUUCAGUUUUCUUGAGUGAAAAGAGACAUCAACUUGAAUAGUGAUUGUUGUGCCCCUCAACACCAUCCUUGGAGCGGUGUUAAUUUUCAAUACAGCAGGACUGACAAUAAAUGGACGGGUCAUUGAUGGACUAUAAGUUCUUGAUCUUGUGUAUAAAAGGAGCUGUGCAUCUUCAAUUGGUGUUAUAUCGAUCUUUCAUAUCUCGUGAGUUUAUUAGUUUUAUAACAAGUUUAGAUAAUUGUCUUAGAUAAAUCACAUAUAUGUUUCAGGUUUAAGUUUCUAAGGACUUGAAAGACUGACGGGCAGAACUUACAAAUGCAAUAGUUCUUUAUUUCUUCCAUAAGGUAUUAAGUUGAUUACUCUUUUAUAUUUCUUCUAUAAAUUACUAGCUUAUUUAUGUGUGAUAAUUGACCAGGUAUAAAAAACAGAGCCCUUUUAUUUAAGAGGGAAGGUGUGAUGUGAGGGAGAUGAAGUUUUAACAAUGUAAGUUGAUUGAUGUGCAAUUUUUUUUGUUGAAAUCAAACUAGAUUUUGUGGAGAAAAAGUUGUUGACACAAACAAUCAAAGGUUUAUUGACUAAUAAUAAUCAUCAUCAUAGUUUUUAGGUAGUUUUUGUUUUAUGUUUAAUAUGGAUUGAUUCUGAAUUUUGAUGAAUA